AAUCAACGCUGGCGGCGUGCCUAACACAUGCAAGUCGAACGCGAAAGUCCCGCAAGGGAUGAGUAGAGUGGCAAACGGGUGAGUAACGCGUGGGUGACCUGCCUUCGAGCGGGGGAGUAGCGUCCCGAACGGGACGCUAAUACCGCUUAACAUCCUGCUUUCUAACAAGUGGAGAUCAAAGACUGGGGAGUCGCAAGACCUA
rnacentral:rRNA from 1 species